UACGUAGGGGGCAGGCGUUGUCCGGAAUUAUUGGGCGUAAAGAGCUCGUAGGCGGUUUGUCGCGUCUGCUGUGAAAACUCGGGGCUUAACCCCGGGCCUGCAGUGGGUACGGGCAGACUAGAGUGCGGUAGGGGAGACUGGAAUUCCUGGUGUAGCGGUGAAAUGCGCAGAUAUCAGGAGGAACACCGGUGGCGAAGGCGGGUCUCUGGGCAACAACUGACGCUGAGGAGCGAAAGCGUGGGGAGCGAACAGG
rnacentral:rRNA from 1 species